CCUACGGGAGACUGCAGUGGGGAAUGUUGGACAAUGGGCGCAAGCCUGAUCCAGCUAUUCCGCGUGUGGGAAGACGGCCUUCGGGUUGUAAACCACUUUUGUAGAGAACGAAAAUUCUAUUGAUAAUACCGUUCUACGAUGACGGUACUCUAAGAAUCAGCACCGGCUAACUACGUGCCAGCAGCCGCGGUAAUACGUAGGGUGCGAGCGUUAAUCGGAAUUACUGGGCGUAAAGGUUGUGCAGGUGGUUUUGCAAGAUGGAUGUGAAAGCCCCGGGCUUAACCUGGGAAAGCCAUACAUGACUGCAAGACUAGAGUGCGUCAGAGGGGGGUGGAAUUCCAAGUGUAGCAGUGAAAUGCGUAGAUAUUUGGAAGAACACCGAUGGCGAAGGCAGCCCCCUGGGAAGAAACUGACGCUCAUACACGAAAGCGUGGGGAGCAAACAGGAUUAGAUACCCUGGUAGUC
rnacentral:rRNA from 1 species